rnacentral:rRNA from 1 species
GACGAGCCUCACUAACGUUAUUCGGAAUUACUGGGCUUAAAGGGUGCGUAGGCGGCGCGGAAAGUUGGGUGUGAAAUCCCUCAGCUUAACUGAGGAAGGGCGCCCAAAACUACCGUGCUCGAGGGAGAUAGAGGAGUGCGGAACUUAGGGUGGAGCGGUGAAAUGCGUUGAUAUCCUAGGGAACACCGGUGGCGAAAGCGGCACUCUGGAUCUCUUCUGACGCUGAGGCACGAAAGCUAGGGUAGCAAACGGG